AAAUGACCAGAAUUAGAAAAGUUUCUGCUUCCUGGAGCAGCGUCUCCUUUGAUCUCCGGAGCCAAUGGCUUUUCCCAGAACUACAUAAAUCGAGUGCUGCAUUACCUCUGCGUAUCUGAACGCUUCACAAUGGCUGUCUUGGGGACCAGAGCUUUAGCAGACCUACCUAUCCCCCAUCCAUGCCUAUCAGGCUAGCAAGCAAAGUUAGCAACAGUGGCUAAUUAGCCACGCCAUCCAAAAGUAUCCAUGAAACUGAGCCAGAGUCGCUAAGAAAUAUAACUAUACCAAACGUGGAUGGUGAACGCUGCUAGUGACGAUGGCUGACAAGUCCAGGGACAGGAUUUCGGACAUGGACCCCCC